rnacentral:rRNA from 1 species
AACGAACGCUGGCGGCAGGCUUAACACAUGCAAGUCGAACGCCCGUAGCAAUACGGGAGUGGCGGACGGGUGAGUAACGCGUGGGAACGUGCCCUGAGGUACGGAAUAACUGCGGGAAACUGCAGCUAAUACCGUAUGAGCCCCGCAAGGGGGAAAGAUUUAUCGCCUUGGGAGCGGCCCGCGUCGGAUUAGCUAGUUGGUGGGGUAACGGCCUACCAAGGCUUCGAUCCGUAGCUGGUCUGAGAGGACGAUCAGCCACACUGGGACUGAGACACGGCCCAGACUCCUACGGGAGGCAGCAGUGGGGAAUCUUGCGCAAUGGGGGCAACCCUGACGCAGCCAUGCCGCGUGAAUGAUGAAGGCCUUAGGGUUGUAAAGUUCUUUUGCCCGUGACGAUGAUGACGGUAACGGGAGAAUAAGCUCCGGCUAACUUCGUG